rnacentral:piRNA from 1 species
UUGCUAUACUGUAUAUAUUGUACAU